rnacentral:rRNA from 1 species
UACGUAGGGGGCAAGCGUUGUCCGGAUUUAUUGGGCGUAAAGAGCUCGUAGGCGGUUCGCUAAGUCGGGUGUGAAACCUCCAGGCUCAACCUGGAGACGCCACCUGAUACUGGUGUGACUCGAGUCCGGUAGGGGAGCGGUGGAAUUCCUGGUGUAGCGGUGAAAUGCGCAGAUAUCAGGAGGAACACCGAUUGCGAAGGCAGCUCGCUGGGACGUAACUGACGCUGAGACGCGAAAGCGUGGGGAGCAAACAGG